GUUCCAUUCAGCUGAGCCUGGCCUGAUUACCUCUCUGCUCCCACCUGUGCCCCUCAGUCUCUGUUUGUCUAUCAGAUUAUCAAAACUAUGUGUUAGCAGAAUUACAGCAUUCCUUCCUUGGAGAUCAGGCACUCUUCUUGUGCCUGAUCUCGCUCCCUAUAUGAUGCAUCCAUUACAACAACAGGCACAUGACAAAUCAUGGAGAACAUCCUUUAGAAACAUCCCAGUGACUUCCUGGAGUCUGGUUUCAGCUGCCUUUAUUUGAUUGCAGCCAGACAGAAAAAGUCAACAAGCAGGCGGGCGUGUUGUUUCUGAAUGGAGAAGUAGCAAAGAAUAAGGAACCUCCAGGUGUCUCGUCCUGUGCUGCUCUACUACACCACUGUGAACCAGAACAGGAGUUCACUCUGAAGUCCUGAAUUACUUCAGCCUUGGAGAGGAGGAGGAGCUCCCCUGUGCCUCCCAAUGAAGUCCUGGAGGUUCAACAGGAGCUGCGUCGAGGACUUAAAGGCCUCCAUUUAUGUGUCACACAUGUCACCGUCAGGCCCAGAGGCUCCACAUUAAUCAAGCUCCAAAUCUCCAAAGAGGGUCACCGGGGAAACCACCUCUGUCAGUGUUUCGACCGAGACUCCUUCAGCUACUCCACUCUGCUGACACUGAUGGUUUCACUGUGUACAUCCAACCCACUCAGGCUGAAAACUCGACCUGGCAUUCCCCUGGAGCUGGAUUGGAAACUGGGGAGAUGGAGCACUCUGGGUCUGACAGGCAGCUCCAGAACCUUAUUCAUGACACAGUCGCAUCAAGAAAAGCAUUGGCUGAAAAAUUAACUGCUGGGAGACUUUCAGGAAUAUUUGAACCAGCAGAACAAACUGGCUUCUGGGUCGGUUAUGUUGGUAUGCAAAAUCACCUUCCAAGACUCGCUGCUGAUUUUGUCACACAGCUCUGGGCUUUGAACAAACAUUCAGAGGUUAUGAUAACACAAAAGCUACAUACUAAUUACAAAUAUUCAAAUUUUAACACAUAUUUACAAAUCUUAUUUUCUGUUUUCGCAAGCAAUGGUUUUGCCCCCUACUACUUAAGUCAAAGUGGGCAGUUAACUUAGCCUCUCAGAAGGGAAACGCUUUGCAGCCUUGUAAGCUAACUAACGCACUCAACAUGUUAACAUAAGUGAGUGUUCGUCAGCGUAGACAGGGUUAGCGUCUGCAUAGAGAUGAGAUUUAAGUAAUGUUCCCAGGUCCACUUUAAGAUUUGCGGAAAUUCUGUUUCAUCAACACACAAAUCCAUGUAAGCCUGGAGAUCAAAUUAUGUAUGCUACAGUAUAAUGUCAGUUAAUAGGGAUGUUGGAAUUUAUCGUGUAUGUUGCAAAGUGUCUAACGUGUAAAUGAAAGGCAGCUGAGUGGAGCAAGUCAAAGUUUAAGGCUGGAACAUUACUUGAUCUGAACGUUAAAAAAUCCACCAUAAAAAAUGAGAUGAACCAUGUAAAGGUUUAUGGCUGCAGGUGUAGCUCCACUCAGUCCUGUCCUGUUAUUGGUGUAUAUCAUUGUUGAUUACAGAUUUGUUGGAAAUCCUUAUUUGAAAUCUAAAAUAGUUAAUUGUUUUCUGGUUGGAGAUCAAGUGUCUUUUAGAAAGCUUUCCCACCAAGCUUUCAGUGCAUCAUGUGCUCUGUUUUGGGCUUUAUUAGGUUUAUGACAUUUAUGUGUUUGCAUAUGUGUGACAGAUGUUGACAUCUAAUCUACAAAUUCUGAAAAUUUAUGGAAAACGUUUCUGCUAAAGUUGUUAGCACAUCUUAGAUUUCUCACCAUGUCUUUAUUCAGUAAUAUAGAAUCUCUGUCUUUUGUGAUAUUUUAGAGUGUUAGAUGUUUAUCUGUCAAACGGAAGUCAACAGUUUCCAGGAAAUCUAAUUACUUUGACUCAUAGUUCCACAUUCAACAAAGUCAUUACCAAACCCAGCGUUCCAUGUAAUCUCCUCUUUCCAUUGUGACAAAUGAAAAAGUCUCACAUUGAGUGUGGUUAUUGCUAUAUUCAUAGGCACAUUAUCCAUGCAACAAAGCAAGAAAGACACUAAUAGCUUUAUGUGGUGCAUCAUUUAUGCACAAUGCAGCCUAAUCUUGUAUAAUCCACCAGUUAAUUGUUUCUCUAACACUAUAAAUCCUGAAACACAAAAGGAGUCUGUAUAGCCACACAUGAUGCUGUAUGUUGAUGUGUGUUCUUAUGAUUCUAGAGGUCUUCAGCAGAAUGUGUUCAUGGUGAGGCCCACCACACCUGAUAUCCAUCUUUAAUCACAGUAGUGAUUCAGUACAACUCCUUUUAUAGGCGACCAGUUGCCCAGCACAGCAUAUUUAAAUUGACAAAAUGUCUACGGUAAAUGUGUUUCGCCUAAUAACUACACAGGUCAUUUUACAUUCUUUAUUUAAGCUAUA